rnacentral:rRNA from 1 species
UACGGAGGGAGCUAGCGUUGUUCGGAAUUACUGGGCGUAAAGGGCGCGUAGGCGGCCUCCGCAAGUCAGUUGUGAAAUCUCCGAGCUUAACUCGGAAAGGUCAACUGAUACUGCGGGGCUAGAGUGCGGGAAGGGGCAACUGGAAUUCUUGGUGUAGCGGUGAAAUGCGUAGAUAUCAAGAGGAACACCGGUGGCGAAGGCGGAUCUCUGGGCCAUUACUGACGCUGAGGAGCGAAAGCGUGGGGAGCGAACGGG